rnacentral:rRNA from 1 species
CAGUAGCCACGGUAAUACGUAGGGUGCGAGCGUUAAUCGGAAUUACUGGGCGUAAAGCGUGCGCAGGCGGUUCGUUAAGACAGAUGUGAAAUCCCCCGGCUUAACCUGGGAACUGCAUUUGUGACUGGCGAGCUAGAGUAUGGCAGAGGGGGUAGAAUUCCACGUGUAGCAGUGAAAUGCGUAGAGAUGUGGAGGAAUACCGAUGGCGAAGGCAGCCCCCUGGGCCAAUACUGACGCUCAUGCACGAAAGCGUGGGGAGCAAACAGGAUUAGAUACCCCCGUAGUCCCUGUCUCUUAUACA